AGGCCCUUACGGUCUCUCUGCCCCGUCUUCUGUGAUAUCCCCAGAGCCUUUACAGUGCCAAUUAUGUUGAAGAUGCAUCAAUUGGGGUUCAAAAGCCUAAGGACAGUUUAUCUCUGCACACUGACCAGUUGUGAAUCCCUGUGGUGGUCUCUGACUGCUGCAAAAAGAAGAUUUUCUGGACCUGAGCUCUGCUGAAGGAGGCAUCACCUGGGUCGAAGGCCGGCAUUAACUUUAGAGCCAAGAACACACACCGUAAAGCUGGUGCACUGACUCGGUGUCUCUCCAGCUCAGCGGUUCUCCAGGGUGACUUCGCACCUUGGAUUUGUCCCCUCAUCCACAGAGACGUUUGGCCCCAUCUAAAGGCUGCUGGAUGGAAUCGAGGCAGCUGCCUGGCUCAUAAGCUGAAUGGAAGCUGGGAGCAAGAAUGGAGCGCUGAACACAGCUCCUUGCUGAGCGCAGAGAGCAGCUGCAGGUCAUCGAGGGACCACUCAUUGUACUGUGUAUCUGCAGGCCAUGGAGGAGAAACCCUAAUGAGACAUCUCUGCAGGCAUCUGUUUGGGCUUUGUUCUUCCGGGUGGGAGGAAAUCACGCUGAGAUGCGUCCAUGGUGGAGGCAGACACAUGACUUCCCAAUCCAGGACCUCACUGGGCUUUGAUACUUUACGCUUUGCAUGAACAGCAGAUGAGAGAAGCAUCUCUCGGCCCAGAGUCCUUACACUCAAGAAACAUUAUGCAGGAAAACCGUGAAAAGCCGUGAGACCCAUCGAAAGCCGUGGCUCACUUUGGGAUUGAAUUACCACUUAAAUCAAACUGACACUGGGCAGGGGGCUUGAAGAAUGAAAUUAAGGGGGAGGCUGUAUUUCAACUGGGAAGCCUUGGGUGCUUUCCAGGAGAGCAGGUCUCCUCUGGAUGAAGUAUAACCCUGAGCUCGAGCUGUACCCUCUUUGAUUUAUCUCAGCCAGGGAGACUUGUUUCAGUGGCUCCAAAUGUUAUUUUCAAAGAGCAAAUGAACAUCUCAUGCUGGAAGCAAUGACAAGGAAAUCAGCUUGGCAGGAUCCAGUACUGGAAAAGGCAGGAAGGAGCUCUGAGCCCUGCUGGCUUCUAAUUUUAAACUCAAGUUCAAGUCGGCCUGAAGAGCUGGUGGAAGGGAGAUGGGAAUCUGGUGUGUUUCCCAGGAAUAUCUUCUACGGCCGCUGUUGGCGGUCAGGGUGUGCAGAGGCUUGCGGCCAAAGAGGGAAAGGUGACGGUGACUCAACCAGAUGAGAAGGAGAGGAAGUGGGGACCCCAAGCUCAGCUCAGCCCGGUCCUUCCCCAGACCAUCUCCUUAUCAGCCUCCCCUUAUUCUACAGAGAUCAAAGAUGUUGCUUUCAUCUGAGAGAACCAGAGCCAAUAGAUUCAGAGAGCAUCCCAAAGAGGGUUUGUCAGAUCGGCUUAUGCAAUCGGGGCUGGUGAGUGAGUCCAAUGGUGGCCGCCUGCACACAGGAGAGGCUCGGAUCCCAGUAGUCCAUGAGGCCGGACACUUCAGCAGUCUCAGUCUGACACUGAAGACCCUCGGGAUUCCCAAGGAUUCAGUCCACAUUGGAAGACUGGAAAAACUGGCUAUGCGCCGAUCACGGAAUAAACGCCCUCGACGGCCAAAAGCAAAGGAUGUUCCUUGGGGAAACAUUGCAUCUUCUCUGUGGCCACAAGAUCUCUCGGAACAAGACAAGUCCUGUCAUCAUAGGGGGCUUCUGUGGCUAGGCCAGCCUGACAGCAGAUGUGGAGCACGCAACCCCCUACACGCCAGCCUCUACACCCCCACAGGUUGGCCUAGACAGCCAGGUGUGUGUGUCAAGCAGGACAUGGCCCCUCAGGUGAGGCGCAAGUGGGGUGGCAAGUGGAGAGAGAUCGCCCCAGCACACGGUCAUUUGACAAGACACCAGCAUUUUAAAAUCAGACUUCACUUGCUUAUUUACCUAGGUUGUUGCACCCAUGACCUGGAAUCUAUGUGGGUGUCAGAGAACAACUUGCAGAAGUCGCUUCUCUCCUUCUACCCGAUGGGCCCUGGGGAUAGAAUUCAGUUUUCCAGGUUUGUCGGUAAAGACCUUUCCUAGCUGCAUCUGCUGGGUCUGCUCUCCUGGCCGCUGCUCAGCCUGAUUCAGGGAUGGGGGAGUCAAACGGGAAGUUGCCUAUGCAGAAAAACAAACACAUUGAGAUGCAAGCUUUCACUUCUACACAAAAAACACUCACCAGUGAGUGAGACUCCCAGGGUGCGCACAGUGGAAGGAAAGAACCAAAUCCUGCAACUGUGCUCUGCUCUCCACAGGCCCCUGAGCAAAAUAAUAUGUAAUAAAACUCCUCGAAGUCAUCUUA